CGACAUUAGCGAUACUUGUGACAGCGGUAGGCUUUACUACUUUUUACAGAGACGUAUUAUCCUAGACGUAUGAUCGAAUCGAUCAGAACUUCUCAAGGAAACAUUUUACAUGCGCAUUCAGCAUUUCUAUUUCACUUUGAAAAACAGAAGUCUUGCUAGAUUUCAUUUGACAUAAUCUGAAGCAAAUUGUCUGCACAGAUACAAUAUGUCUUCGAAUCAGCCCCCAUCCCAGGUGAGCGCUGGAGCCAACCGCACGGGCUACACACCUAGCGGAAUCGGUUCAGGUACUGCUGCAGCUGGUCAUAUGUCCUCAAGUGCGAAGUCUCAUGGCGGAGGAGUCCAGAAGGGAAGCACGGUCUCUAGCAUGCAGUCGGCGGGGAGCAAGGGCAACUACUCUAAAGGAGUCGGAGGGAGUAAAAAGUAGACCUGGACAUUCGAGACCGGUCUGGAGAUCUAGUUGAUCGAGGCCAACUUAAUUCUAGCGACAGAGAGAUUCGAAGGAGGAAUCGCUAGCAAAUAGUCAUUAAAAGAAAAUAUAUUAUUUACGUAAUAUUAUUUUAAUCCAAGUUUAUCCCAUUGCCGAACAGUUUAAUAUCUUCUUAAUAUCCUUUGUUUCGUGAAAUAUAAUUUCAAUAAUUUUAUGUCUGUUUUUUGUUUAAGUCCACAAAACGGAGCAUUAGAAAUGUCGACACAAAGAGAAAUAUAGUAACAUAAAGAACCUUUAAUUCCAAUAUAUGAAAGUAUGUCUUUUAAUGUGCAAAAUCAAUAUUCGCAAUCGUGUAAGAUUUAUACGAAAAGGUCUUCAACUGCUUUGCAAUCGUAGCAUUGAUGUUUGAUUGGUUUGAUUGGUAAUUAAACUGGUAUUAAACCGUGUCCUUUAAUGUACAGCUAUUAAAUAAAUAACUUUCAUCAUUACCAUGUCGCUCUCAUUUUAUUCUAAUAAAUGACCGCAAAUUUAAGCAGUAUUUGUUAUCAUUUGCAAAAUCACACGAUUGGGCCUACCUAUUUGUAACGUUUAAAAGGUUCGAAUGAACAAAAAUGGCAAAAUUAUUGUUGAUUGAAUCAGUAAUUUCGUUUGUCUGUUCUAGUUGCCCGUAAUAAUGAAUCAAAUAACUUCAAUUUCUACUCUGUAAAUUUGUUUUGAAUGUCAUCUGUCAAUGAGUAUCAAUAAUUGUCUAAUAUUCUAAAUUAAAAAGCCUCGAACAAAAAAAA